AGCUAACAUCCAUGCCCAUCUUCCUCUACUUUGUACGUGGGAUGCCUGCCACAGCAGGGCUUGCUAAGUGGUGCACAGGUCCCGGCAUCGAUCCUGGCUGGUCAACCCCGGGCUGCCAAAGAGGAAUGUGCGAACUUGACCGCUGUACCACCAGGCGGCCCCAAGCCAUGCAUUUUUUUUAAUUGAGGUUUUUAUCGAGAUAAUUUUAGAUCCACAUUGCAGGUGUAAGAAUUAAUAAAGAAACAUCCUGGGAGCCCUAAUGCCAGCAGAGCUGGUCAAGUACCACCUCUUUUUAAGGUCUGAGAUCCACACUAUUGAUUUUAAGAAAUGAAAAGGGAGAGUUCCCAACCAAGAUGGCAACAUAGGCUCCUAGACUCACCUCCUCCCACGGACACACUGAAUCCGCAGCUACACAUGGAGCAAUUCCCUCUGAAAGAAAUACAGAAACUAGCUGAGCGACUCCCACACAUUGGGUGUUUGAUACGCACAUGGAAAUGGGUAGGAAAGGCUGAAACACACCCUCGUCCUAAUCAGCACUGGCAUAGUGCCACGCAAUCAGCGGGGAGCUCACAACUCCCGGCUUCUCCCUGAGGAGUGAAGGGUUGGACCGAACAUCUAGUGCCCUAACUUUUAAGACUUCCAUCUGAGGGAUGGGUCCUCCAAACACCUAGCUCAGAAAACCAGUGGGGCUUGCAUCCACAGGACCCAUGAGACUACACAGCAGACAGAGAAACAGUUCUCAGCACAGUGGGAGCAGAGGGAAAUGCCCUUCUCCCAGUCUUUCCCUGAAAGAGGCCUGUUGAUGCUUCAAAAGCUGCUAUGUAGGGGUGGGGCUUCUAAUUUAGUACACACACCUGGGGCUGACUGCGGUCCUUCCCGGAGCGGGGAGGCUGGAGAGGGCAGUCUCCCAGUUCUCCUCCAGCUAGCUCCGGAUUGCAGGUGUGUCCCUGGAAGGGACUAUUUCCAGAGAGAUGCCAGAUGGCCCUUCAGAAAGAACAUGAAAUGAAGCUAUCACUGACAUUAUUUCUACUUCCAAAAGUGUUCCUGAGAAGGGAAAUCUGAGAUAAGUGAUACGAAAACAAGCUUGUGAACUCAUUCGUUUUCAAUAUUUCUGAGCUCUUUAAAUGAAAGGAAGAGUAAUUUGAUUCUCUCA
rnacentral:lncRNA from 1 species